rnacentral:rRNA from 1 species
GACGAACGCUGGCGGCGUGCCUAACACAUGCAAGUCGAGCGGGGACAUGCGACGGAUAGGAAGUUUUCGGAUGGAAUUGAAGAUGUAUGUUCUAGCGGCGGACGGGUGAGUAACGCGUGAGCAACCUGUCCUUCACAGGGGGAUAACACAGCGAAAGUUGUACUAAUACCGCAUAAGACCACGUUGGGACAUCCCAAAGGGGUCAAAGGAGCAAUCCGGUGAAGGGUGGGCUCGCGUCCGAUUAGAUAGUUGGUGAGGUAACGGCCCACCAAGUCGACGAUCGGUAGCCGACCUGAGAGGGUGAUCGGCCACAUUGGGACUGAGACACGGCCCAAACUCCUACGGGAGGCAGCAGUGGGGAAUAUUGGGCAAUGGGGGAAACCCUGACCCAGCAACGCCGCGUGAGGGAAGAAGGUUUUCGGAUCGUAAACCUCUGUCCUUGGUGAAGAGAAAGAGACGGUAGCCAAGGAGGAAGCCCCGGCUAACUACGUGCCAGCAGCCGCCGUAAAAC